UUGCUUCAGCAGCAUAUAUACUAAAAUUGGAAGGAUACAGAGAAAAUUGCCAUGGCCCCAUGUCAAGGAUGACAUGCAAAUUCAUGACAAUUCCAUAUUUUUA